AAAUUUACAAAAAAAUAGUUUAGACCAUAUGUCGUGGUUACAGUCCAUGAUAAUACCACAUAUACUUUACGUGAGUUAGAUGGAGCUAUCAUAAGGAAUCCAAUAGCAAGGAAGAGGAUGAAGACUUUCAAAAAAAGAGAUGGGUUAUUUCAAAUAGAAGACCUUCAAGAAUUCUUACCUCAAUAUUUAAACCAAGAAGAUUAAGAAGAAGAGUCUAUGAGUAAUUCAAAGAAAACUCAAAAAAAUGAAGAAGAAUAAUAUGUGGCAUAUACUUAAGGAUGUACAAAUUU
rnacentral:lncRNA from 1 species